UUUUCCACUGGCCUUUUUCACCCAAUUUCACAUUACACAUCCACGAGCCCCUUUCGCCCAAUUUCACAUUCACGGGCCUUUUGGCCCAAUUUCACAUUCACAGGUUAUUGUGCCCAAUUUCACAUUCACGGGUCAUUGUGCCCAUAUUUCACUUUUCAAUUGUCCAGGUAUAAUACAACUUUUCCACCUACUUGUCACCCUUUCACCAUCAUCUUCGAAAUUUAAAUUUUCACAGUACAAAACAUAAUAACAAUCCAAGUCACUUCAUUUCAUGAUAAUUCUAUUGACCCUAAAAACUACCAAGCCUACGUGGCGCGCAGGCCGAGUAAUCUAUAAGCUAACUACGUUAUUCGGUGAAUGCAGGGCAUGCCAACUCGUCGGCCGAGCUCGGCCGAGGAGUAAAUUUAUUGAUGUUGCGUUGGGUACGUAACUGACUUUUGCGUCUUGCGAUUGCGAUCGAGGAAGGA
rnacentral:lncRNA from 1 species